UAUACUACAAUGAAAAGGAAUUAUGAUUGUGUCUCGGCAAAAUCAUCAGAAAAGGGUAAAUGCUGUUGUGAUUGAGGAUGUGAUUGCUGUAAUGAUGAAAACUCACCAGCUAGAUUUGGAAGCCUCUCAAAUAUAACUUUCAUGAUGGACUUAAUUUGAUGCAUGUCAAGUCUUCAACUUUUUCACAUCACUCUUCAUUUCUUGAUAGCCCUUAGGUCAGACGAAGAAACCUGUGCAGCAUCAGC
rnacentral:lncRNA from 1 species